rnacentral:lncRNA from 1 species
CUCGUCGAAAGUCUUCCAUUCUUCAAACUAGAUUAUUUAAAAAUGAAAAAGGAAGAAAGGAAAGCGAGGUCAUCUCAUUGCUCUAUCCGCCAAUCAGGAGGCUGAAUGUCAGUUUUGAACUAAAAGCCGCUCCGCUCCUCUUCUAGAUUUGGAAAACAAGCGAAAUUAAACUAAACCGCUGCACGCCUCUGACGCGACAUCUGGACACGGCGCGGCGCUGGCGCUGCCGGAGCUGUCGACCCGGCCUGGCGCCGGACUAGUGUCCCUUUUGAUGAGAAGAAUAAGCCUCAUUCUGAUUCAACAGCAGAGAUCAAAGAAAAGACUUCUGUUUUCUGGCCACCAGAUAUAUGUUAUCUGUGCUUAAAGAAUUGAAAAACACACAUCAAAGGAGAAUUUUCUUGGAAAGAGAGGGUUCAAGCAUCACUGUUAGGUGUGCUGGAAUCCUUUCCCGAGUCAGUACUGCUUUCUAGAAGAAAACCGGGGAGAUCUAUUUGGAAUGUAUCUAACUCCAAAGAAACCAUCAGAGGUAACAGUAGAGACGGGGUUUCACCAUGUUGGCCAGACUGGUCUUGAACUCUCGACCUCGUGAUUCGCCCGCCUCGGCCUCCCAAAGUGCUGGGAUUACAGGUGUGAGACACCACACCCGGCGGAUAGAGAGAAUUUUGACAGAUUGGCUUCUCUCACAUGGCAAGAAACAUUGCUGCUAGCACUUCCCGAGUUCUACGUUCUACAACAUCCACCACUGGAUCUUAACAUAGACGUAAGAUCAAAUGCAAUAGCAUGUCAAACAAUGUGUAACUCCAGUUAUACAAACAUUACUGUAUCUCAUUGGGGAUACGAAGCUCUACACACUUGAAGAUGGUGAAGGAAUAUAAAAAUCUAUGUCUCACAGUCCAGACUUGGAGUACAAGUAAUAAGAAGAAUAAAACUUAAUCCCUUAAGUAGAUUCACCAUAAGUUAGCUCAGAGCAAUUCCAGUGCAAGUAUGGUCUGUGAUCCAGUAGUAUCUUACAGACAGCAAGUUGAACAUUGUGGGAUGCAUGAGCUAUUGAGGCCUUUGCAGCUUUCUGCUACAUGGAGGCUAGGGCCAGAGUCAAGAUUUAUGCUUUGCAGCACACUGGUCAGCUGUUUUUGCAAAUCAGAUUAAAUGAUUUUUAAAUGAGGCUGAGAGCAUGGGAGAUACUAAUGUGUGUUUCCUUGUGAGCUACUGCAUAAGUUAGGAAAUUGAAAUACAGAAAGAUGAAAAGUGAUUUGCCCAAGCAUAUAGAUCAAAGCUGUGGCAGA